UUACUUAACUGGCAGGGGAGAUAGAUGCCAUGAUCACCAAGGUGGUUAUCCCAGGGAGAGAGAAUUAUACUCCAGGCAGGCUGACCCCUGUGAGUUUUUCUGAGUGCAGGAAACUCGACUGCACAAUUCUUUGGCAACGUGGCUUGCUUCUCAGCCUUU